ACGUAGGUGGCAAGCGUUAUCCGGAAUUAUUGGGCGUAAAGCGCGCGCAGGUGGUUUCUUAAGUCUGAUGUGAAAGCCCACGGCUCAACCGUGGAGGGUCAUUGGAAACUGGGAGACUUGAGUGCAGAAGAGGAAAGUGGAAUUCCAUGUGUAGCGGUGAAAUGCGUAGAGAUAUGGAGGAACACCAGUGGCGAAGGCGACUUUCUGGUCUGUAACUGACACUGAGGCGCGAAAGCGUGGGGAGCAAACAG
rnacentral:rRNA from 1 species